CUACGGGAGGCAGCAGUAGGGAAUCUUCCGCAAUGGACGAAAGUCUGACGGAGCAACGCCGCGUGAGUGAUGAAGGCUUUCGGGUCGUAAAACUCUGUUGUUAGGGAAGAACAAGUGCUAGUUGAAUAAGCUGGCACCUUGACGGUACCUAACCAGAAAGCCACGGCUAACUACGUGCCAGCAGCCGCGGUAA
rnacentral:rRNA from 1 species